AAAAACAUUUGUUCUCAAUUUGCACAAAGAUGCUCAAAGGCUUUGUACAGGUUGGAGAAUAGGCAUAUGUGACAGUAGUUAUUAAUGCUCUCGCCUUUUAAAGAUAGUAUGACAUUUGGAGAUUUUUCUCCCAUUGUCUUUAUCUUCUCUUCCUUCAGAUGCCUUGCAUAUUGGCCCCUUAACAGUUUAACAGUUGGGUCACCUGCAGCAUGAAUCUUGUGUGUGUGUGUGUGUGUGUUUGGAAGGGCACAGAUAAUUUUCCCAUUAUGAUUCUUUUGGUUCAAUUUUUACUUCCCCUAUGAACACAUAUGGAACCAUGCCAUUAUCCAAGUGUGGUGGAUCCACUGUCCUUGAUGGAGAAAAUGAGUUGUUAUCAUGAUAUUUGCCAGUCUUUUUCAUUUUGCCUUCACUUUAUAGUCUUUCCUUUUUCAUCCUUAAAUGGCCAUGAAUUACUUUGCUUAGUUGGAUAUUUUGCUAAGCUUUAUUUAACCUGAUUUUACCACUUAUUGCUUCUCUUUAAUAAUCACCCAUCAACCUUUGUACGAUUUUAAAAAUUAGGUUUGUGGCAGCUAGAUGGCACAGUGGAUUAGAGUGCAGGACAUGGAGUUAGGAAGACUCAUCUUCCUGAGGUCAAAUCUGGCCUUAGACACUCACUAGCAGUGUGACCCUGGGUUCUUCGGGCAAGUCAGACCAAGGCUUGGGUUCAUUCUUUGCUCCGAACACAUCUUCCCCCCAGAAGUACUGUAAGGGAUAGAGAGAGGGAAGCCAUCUCUCCCCCAGUGACUGGCUGAAGAUUCGGGACCCUUCCGACUCACAAGAUUCCUGCUUAAGAACUCCUAUUUAGAAGACAUCUAGUAAGUCCCUUUGAACAUCUAUGGAGGCCCUAUGGAAGAACAUGGAUGAAAACUGCAAAAGGUAGGAAGGCAGUGACAUAAGAAAUACUCACAUUGAUUAGUUGACAGAGCUAGUGGAAGAUCAAAAUAUUUUUUCCUCAAUAAUGAAAACAUGAGUACUUUAAGUAGGUUUUAUUUAGCUUUGUUUUACAAUUGUCCUUGUGCUUUUUGAGGGGGCAACAGAUGUAUUUGAAUGGUACCAGGAUGCAAGGAAAACUCAUGAGUUUUGGGGAGAGAACAGACAGAUUUUCAGGACAUUGUGGGAAUUGGAAUUCUAUCUCUGGAUAAAAGGGUCAUCCA